AACGAACGCUGGCGGCAGGCUUAACACAUGCAAGUCGAACGCCCUCUUCGGAGGGAGUGGCAGACGGGUGAGUAACACGUGGGAACCUACCUAGGGGUACGGAAUAACUCGGGGAAACUCGUGCUAAUACCGUAUACGACCCAAGGGUGAAAGAUUUAUCGCCCCUAGAUGGGCCCGCGCUGGAUUAGCUAGUUGGUGGGGUAAAAGCCUACCAAGGCGACGAUCCAUAGCUGGUCUGAGAGGAUGAUCAGCCACACUGGGACUGAGACACGGCCCAGACUCCUACGGGAGGCAGCAGUGGGGAAUCUUGGACAAUGGGGGAAACCCUGAUCCAGCCAUGCCGCGUGAGUGAUGAAGGCCUUAGGGUUGUAAAGCUCUUUCGCCAGGGAAGAUAAUGACGGUACCUGGAUAAGAAGCCCCGGCUAACUCCGUG
rnacentral:rRNA from 1 species